rnacentral:misc_RNA from 1 species
AACGGAAGUUUAUGAAAGCGGAAUCUUAAGUGAUUUCCGGUUAUAAAUAAAACCAGCAUUGUUAUCAUGAACAUAGAAAAAUAAACAAUGACACGGACUAAAGGAUUACACUGUUUUCUGUUUUUUAUUCUGGAACUUACAUUACAUAUAAACGCAAAUCGUUGCAUCAUUCCACGCGGCGGCCAAUAUAGAAGGUCUGUUUUCCGUCCUCAGUAUGGUUCGAACACCAAUAAAUAUCCUCCAGGCAGGCGAAUAAGUCAUGGAACGAAAAUAGUGAUCACUUGCAAGAAGGACAUUUACCAUGAUUUAGCGACACAGUUUUCUUUUAGCAAGUGUCAAAAUGGAAAAUGGGACCCGGCUCUACCGCAAUGUAAAGUUCAAAGAAGAUGUAGAGCACCAAAAGCUAUUCAACACGCCACUGCGUCAGAGCCUCUAACGCCAAAUAUAACUUUCCCACACGGCACGACUGUGACGUAUACAUGUGACGUAGGUAAGAUGGCAACCGGAAGUAAUACUGUCGUCUGCGACAAUGGCGAAUGGAGCGCAUCAAACUUUACAUGUUUAGAUGGACGAGGAUGCCUUAUACCGAGUGGGGCACAGUACAGAAGGUCUGAAUUCCGUUCGAAAGCUGGUUCCAGCACCGGUAAUUACCCCGCUGGUUCCAUGAUUGGCAGUGGAAGUACUAUAUUGGCUAUUUGUAAAAAGGACAAAUACGGAGAUGUUAUAACAAAAUGGAUUUCAAGUAAAUGUCAGAGUGGCGAAUGGAUUCCUGCGUUGCCAGGUUGUAAAGUUUACAGCAGAUGUCGUGCACCACCGUCGAUUGAACAUGCAAUCGCAUCCGAAAGAAUAACGCCCUAUAUAACAUUCCCACAUGGCACUACUGUGACGUACACAUGUGACGUAGGCAAGAUGGCGACAGGAAGUGAUACUGUGAUUUGUACAGACGGACAAUGGUCUAAUACGAACAUCCAGUGUGAAGACAACCCUGACUAUAUGCCGGGCACAACGACUGUCAUAUCGGCUACUACUAAGAGGAGGAGAUGCUCUCAGCUGACAGUCGGAAAUGGUAAAAUCUCUGUCCGAGAUACAGCCUACGAUACCUUAUGACGUCACGUGUAACGCUGGAUUUCGGCUAAAGUCUACAAAAACUAACACAUAUAUAUGCAGAGGAGGCACGUGGAUUGAUGAAGAACCUAAAUGUGUGAGAGCUCUACAUCAGUGCGAAAUCUCUAACACGAUGAGAAGAGGGUCCGAGAUCAAGUCGAAGACAACAGGGGAGGUAAUUAAUGUUAUGUUCGUCCACCAUUGGACACAAGUCGUGCAAACGUGUAAAGUGAAACUGAGAAAUGCGAAAAGCAGGACGGCAAGAUGUGUAAAUGGGCGCUGGCGACCGACUCCUAUGACUUGUCCGGACAUCAGCGAAAAUCGCCGAAGAAAUUCUGAUGUUCAGUAUAGAAUACAUAUAAAGGGCGGAGGGGAGAGAUCGCCAGUUUAUGUUUUCCUUCAAGGAUCUUUGCAGUCUCGUGUUGUACUUCAACUUGAUAGAACAGUGUCGACCGACAACGACGUGAGACAAUA